AGAGCGAAAGCAUUUGCCAAGAAUGUUUUCAUUA
rnacentral:piRNA from 1 species